UAGCGAAGGGGGCUAGCGUUGUUCGGAUUUACUGGGCGUAAAGCGCACGUAGGCGGAUCUUUAAGUCAGGAGGUGAAAUCCUGGAGCUCAACUCCAGAACUGCCUUCGAUACUGGAAAGCUCGAGUCCGGGAGAGGUGAGUGGAACUGCGAGUGUAGAGGUGAAAUUCGUAGAUAUUCGCAAGAACACCAGUGGCGAAGGCGGCUCACUGGCCCGGUACGUGACGCUGAGGUGCGAAAGCGUGGGGAGCAAACAGG
rnacentral:rRNA from 1 species